UGGAGUCGUAGCUCAGUGGUAGAGUGCUCACCUAGCAUGUGUGAGGUACUGGGUUCAAUCCUUAGCACUACAG
rnacentral:tRNA from 1 species